UACGAAGGGGGCUAGCGUUGCUCGGAAUUACUGGGCGUAAAGCGCGUGUAGGCGGAUUGCUAAGUCGGGCGUGAAAUCCCCAGGCUCAACCUGGGAACUGCGCUCGAAACUGGCAGUCUCGAGUAUCGGAGAGGGCGGCGGAAUUCCUGGUGUAGAGGUGAAAUUCGUAGAUAUCAGGAGGAACACCGGUGGCGAAGGCGGCCGCCUGGACGAUUACUGACGCUGAGACGCGAAAGCGUGGGGAGCAAACAGG
rnacentral:rRNA from 1 species